CGGUUAGCAAAUUGUUUGUAGCCUUCUCACCAUGGCUUUAGUUUGGUGAGGUGGAUAUUGAGGGUUCAUUGGUUGCUAGUAUUAUUUUAAACAAGAUAGAUUUGGUGACUGAGGCUGAAUUGGAGGUGUUGACAAAGCGAAUUCAGUUAGGCUUUCACCUUGUACAUAGAUAGAUUUUACUUGUAUCUUUGAAAUGUGGUUACUCAUUGAAUUGGGAGGGUUAGAGGUGUUUUUAGACUGUUCCAAGAGAAACUGAACUUGUAUGAAUGUGGAAAGUGGUAAAACGGUUGUUGGCAUUUUUAUAUCUAUUUGAUUCCGGCAUAAUGAUCGAUUCUUUGAAGUUUAGGCACUUCUUCGGUUAGUUCAGCUGUGGGUUUUGCUGUUGCCUUUUGACAAGCCAAAUUUAACUUUAGUCUGGUUUUGAUAUAUAUUUUUCUAUAUUAAUGUUAUGGUCAACUCGUCUACUGAAAAUUGCAUUAUGUGAAAUUUCUUAUUUUAAAAUUUCUGAACACAAAAAGUAAUUACAAUAUUUUACACAAUAGGUAUCUGUUUGUGCAGUCAAUGGGGUAUAAAAUUAAAAAAAUAGAAAUGAAAAUUUAAGAAUGCAUUUGAAGCUUACAUGUCUAUAACAAACUAGGGUUAAUACUGAAAGUGCUCAAUAGGUUCAAUUAUUCAACUUAUUCAUGUAAUAGUUUAUGGUAUAGCCUUGUGCUAGUAUGUUGCUUAAUUUGUCAUAUAUGUUCUACUGGUAUAGCUUUAUGUUAAAUGAACAGUGAAUUCUCUUUCAUCUUUCCUUGGCAUGCUAUUGAUUCUGCAGCUUUUGGAUUUUUGGUGCACUUUUGUCAGCAUAUCAAUGGGAUGACACAGUUAAAGCUGGCUAAAUAUGGCGUUGUCGACAUGGACUUUGUUUUGGGAGUGGGCGGUUAUGAUCUAGAUAGGUGAUUCAGAGUUUUUUGCUUUUUUCAUAGUAUUUUUUUCCCUAUUUGUGGUUAGGAAAUACAAAUGGCGCUGCAUAUCCAUAUCAUAAGUGGUAUUGGGUAAUAUCAUAUUCCAUGACGUUUGAACAUGCCAUUCGUUUUGCAGAAUUGAUUCAGAGGUUCAGUCGGAUAGUUCUCAUUGUGAAUCCCAUCAGUGUUGUUAAAGGCGCGCCUAGGCUCAAGGCUCAGGUUUAGCGCUUGUUGCCAUCCCAGGCUCAUUGAUGUUGGAAAUGAGAAAGACCGGAUCGAGGUGAAGAUGAGAAACGGUGUACAGAAGAUGGUCAUUUCCAAAUGGAAAGGCAUCACCACCAUCAAAAUCAACAACUGAGCUUCCAUCGCUGUCCUUCCGAGCUCAUCUAUGUUCAUCAUGUUUGCUUAAUUCUUUUUUAGGGUUUGUUCAUUGAUCGAUUGAUCUCUUUUGAUUUCACUAUGUUCUGGUUUUUGAAGCUUUGAAAAAUGUUGAUGCUCUAUGUAGUUGAUGGAUCUUUUGUUUGAGGGUUCCCAAAUCCCAACUGAAAAAUGUUGAUGCUUUGCGUGUGCACCACAAAUUUCUGUGUAGAAACAUGCCAAACGGGAGAAUACAAAAUUCUCUUUCUAAUUUCUGAAC